GAUGAACGCUGGCGGCGUGCCUAAUACAUGCAAGUCGAGCGAACAGACGAGGAGCUUGCUCCUCUGACGUUAGCGGCGGACGGGUGAGUAACACGUGGAUAACCUACCUAUAAGACUGGGAUAACUUCGGGAAACCGGAGCUAAUACCGGAUAAUAUAUUGAACCGCAUGGUUCAAUAGUGAAAGACGGUUUUGCUGUCACUUAUAGAUGGAUCCGCGCCGCAUUAGCUAGUUGGUAAGGUAACGGCUUACCAAGGCAACGAUGCGUAGCCGACCUGAGAGGGGGAUCGCCCACACUGGAACUGAGACAGGGUCCAAACCCCAACGGGAGGCAGCAGUAGGGAAUCUUCCGCAAGGGGCGAAAGCCUGACGGAGCAACGCCGCGUGGGUGAUGAAGGGCUUCGGAUCGUAAAACUCUGUUAUUAGGGAAAAAAAAAUGUGAAAGUAACUAUCCACGUUUUGACGGUACCUAAGAAAAAAGCCCCGGCUAACUCCGU
rnacentral:rRNA from 1 species